GAUGAACGCUGGCGGCGUGCCUAAUACAUGCAAGUCGAGCGAACCAAAGAGAGCUUGCUCUCUGAGGUUAGCGGCGGACGGGUGAGUAACACGUGGGUAACCUGCCUGUAAGACGGGGAUAACUUCGGGAAACCGAAGCUAAUACCGGAUGAUAAAGAGAAACGCCUGUUUCUCUUUUGAAAGUCGGCCUUGUGCUGACGCUUACAGAUGGGCCCGCGGCGCAUUAGCUAGUUGGUGAGGUAACGGCUCACCAAGGCGACGAUGCGUAGCCGACCUGAGAGGGUGAUCGGCCACACUGGGACUGAGACACGGCCCAGACUCCUACGGGAGACAGCAGUAGGGAAUCUUCGGCAAUGGACGAAAGUCUGACCGAGCAACGCCGCGUGAGCGAUGAAGGCCUUCGGGUCGUAAAGCUCUGUUGUCAGAGAAGAACAAGUACCGGAGUAACUGCCGGUACCUUGACGGUACCUGACCAGAAAGCCACGGCUAACUACGUGCCAGCCGCCGCAGUAAAAC
rnacentral:rRNA from 1 species